rnacentral:rRNA from 1 species
GUGCAGCAGGCGCGAAAACUUCGCAAUACGCGCAAGCGUGACGAGGGAACCCCAAGUACUCUUGCUUUUUGCAGGAGUUUUUGCCAAGUGUAAACAGCUUGGAGAAUAAGGGCGGGGUAAGGCCGGUGCCAGCCGCCGCGGUAAUACCGGCCGCCCGAGUAGUGACCACUAUUAUUGGGCCUAAAGCGUCCGUAGCCGGCUCAGCAAGUCUCCCGUUAAAUCCAACGAUUCAAUCGUUGGACUGCGGGAGAUACUGUUGAGCUAGGAGGCGGGAGAGGCCGACGGUAUUCCCGGAGUAGGGGUGAAAUCUUAUAAUUCCGGGAGGAACUGCAGUGGCGAAGGCGGGUAGCCAGAACGCGCUCGACGGUGAGGGGCGAAAGCUGGGGGAGCGAACCGGAUUAGAUACCCGGGUAGUCC